rnacentral:tRNA from 1 species
GGUAUGGCGCCGGAUGAACGGAUAACUCUGAUGACGUUAAUUAAGGAGUUUUACUCCCUAUACCU